rnacentral:snRNA from 11 species
AACUUUGCGCAGCGGCGAUAUCGUAACCAAUGAGGUUUAUCCGAGGUGCGAUUAUUGCUAGUUGGACCCAUCGAAUUUUAUUGUAGAGGAACAUCCUAAAAGAAGAGUUAAGAUUGCGAAUGCCCGAGCGAAAAAAUCUGUGAAAAUCUGAAUUGAAAAAUCUGAAAUGUGUCCUGAAAC